rnacentral:rRNA from 1 species
GCCGCGAAUUCGCCCUUAGAGUUUGAUCAUGGCUCAGAAUGAACGCUGGCGGCGUGCUUAACACAUGCAAGUCGAACGAGAAAGGGAUUGCUUGCAAUCCUGAGUAGAGUGGCGCACGGGUGAGUAACACGUAGAUAAUCUACCUUCAAGCCCGGGAUAACUAUUCGAAAGGAUGGCUAAUACCGGAUAAAGUAAUUCAACAAAAGUUGACCUAUGAAAGAUUGCCUCUUCUUGAAAGCAAUUGUUUGGAGAUGAGUUUGCGGACCAUUAGUUAGUUGGUGGGGUAAAGGCCUACCAAGACUACGAUGGUUAGCUGGUCUGAGAGGAUGAUCAGCCACACUGGAACUGGUACACGGUCCAGACUCCUACGGGAGGCAGCAGUGAGGAAUUUUGCGCAAUGGGGGCAACCCUGACGCAGCAACGCCGCGUGAGUGAAGAAGGCCUUUGGGUCGUAAAGCUCUGUCGACAGGGAAGAAAUUAUAGUUAUCCAAUAGGUAGCUGUAUUGACGGUACCUGUAGAGGAAGCACCGGCUAACUCCGUGCCAGCAGCCGCGGUAAUACGGGGGGUGCAAGCGUUAUUCGGAAUUAUUGGGCGUAAAGGGCGCGUAGGCGGUCUUGUCGGUCAGAUGUGAAAGCCCAGGGCUCAACCCUGGACGUGCAUUUGAAACAGCAAGACUUGAGUACGGGAGAGGAAAGCGGAAUUCCUGGUGUAGAGGUGAAAUUCGUAGAU